rnacentral:tRNA from 1 species
GAGGUUUUAGCUUAAUUAAAGUGUCUAAAUUGCAUUUAGAUSAUGUAAAUUAUAUAUUAACAGGCCUU